rnacentral:rRNA from 1 species
UACGUAGGAGGCAAGCGUUGUCCGGAAUUACUGGGCGUAAAGCGCGUGUAGGUGGUGGGACAAGUCUGCUGUGAAAGCGCCUGGCUUAACCGGGCGAGGUCGGCGGAAACUGUCCGACUCGAGGACGGUAGAGGGGGGUGGAAUUCCCGGUGUAGUGGUGAAAUUCGUAGAUAUUCGCAAGAACACCAGUGGCGAAGGCGGCUCACUGGCCCGAUACUGACGCUGAGGCACGAAAGCGUGGGGAGCAAACAGG